GCGUGAGGGAUGAAGGCCCUCGGGUCGUAAACCUCUGUCGGAAGGGAAGAAAGGCCUCUGUUCGAAUAGAGCAGGGGCUUGACGGUACCUUCAAAGGAAGCACCGGCUAACUCCGUGCCAGCAGCCGCGGUAAUACGGAGGGUGCAAGCGUUGUUCGGAAUUACUGGGCGUAAAGCGCGUGUAGGCGGCUUGGCAAGUCGAGUGUGAAAUCCCAGGGCUCAACCCUGGAACUGCACCCGAAACUGCCUGGCUAGAGUCCCGGAGAGGGUGGCGGAAUUUCCGGUGUAGAGGUGAAAUUCGU
rnacentral:rRNA from 1 species